rnacentral:lncRNA from 1 species
AUGUUGUCUCAUCUGAGACGGUACAAGAUCCGUGUGUCCACACACAGCCGGUCGUGGCUGAGUUCGUGGCUAUGCCUUCCUUCAGAUGUGGCCGGGCUCAGGCUGAUUCAGGGAGAAACACUGCUUCUCAUUGAGUCACAAGGCCGUCCUGGAGCUGUGCUGGACUUUGCUUGGCCAGCUGUGCAGAAGGCCCAAGAUAAACAGCUUGCUGAAGGAGAGACAGCACGGAGGAUUUUUCUUAAAGGGAAGACAAUGCCAAGGAUCUGCUUCCACGCCUUCCAUGAUGGCUCCACUCCUAGCUUCAGUCCCCACCCUGUGCCCUACAUUUGUCCUGGGCUCGCUCCUAGCACAGUGUUCCAUCUGCUGUUGGCCACUGUCUGCAGCAGCCAGAGAACCUGGCUCCACUUCAAAAGGCCUUGCUGGGUGCAGCACUAAAGAAGGGACAUUUGUCUUCUCUGUCCUCCUCGUCCUUGCACCACUGUUUCCCUCACUGGGACCUUCUUGCACUCCCAGCAAAAGCUGCCAUCGGACCAUCCAUUGAUGCUGCUGUGCAGCUCUGUGUUUCUAAACUGGAAAAACGUAAGAACGGCUUUAAAAGAAAAAAUUCUCACUCAUUUCCCAAGAAAUGGAUGCCAAUUACCAAUGCAAAAGAGUUUAGAUUUUAUAAUUAAUAAAAGUGUUAUAUGAUUGCA